rnacentral:lncRNA from 1 species
UACUUUUAAAGUUGGAAGUAAAGUAUGGCUUCUUCGACGGAAUAUCAAGACCAAGCGGCCAUGUGACAAAUUGGACUAUCGGAGAUUAGGGCCAUUUGUUAUCGGGAAGCAGAUCAAUCCGGUGGCAUAUCGUCUGGAGUUACCAACUACUAUGAAGGUACAUCCAGUCUUUCACGUGUCUUUGUUGGAACCUUAUCGAGAG